rnacentral:rRNA from 1 species
UUCGGCGACCAUGGCGAAGGGGAAACGCCCGGCUCCAUUCCGAACCCGGAAGCUAAGCCCUUCAGCGCCGAUGGUACUGCACUUGUGAAGGUGUGGGAGAGCAGGACGUCGCCGGAC